AAAGGAAUAGACGGGGGCCCGCACAAGCGGAGGAACAUGUGGUUUAAUUCGAUGAUACGCGAGGAACCUUACCCGGGCUCGAACGAUGGAGGAAUAUGUGGGAAACUGCAUAGCCAGCAAUGGUCGCCAUCGAGGUGCUGCAUGGUUGUCGUCAGCUCGUGCCGUGAGGUGUCGGCUUAAGUGCCAUAACGAGCGCAACCCUUAUUGUUAGUUGCCAGCGGGUAAAGCCGGGGACUCUAGCAAAACUGCCAGCGUAAGCUGAGAGGAAGGUGGGGAUGACGUCAAAUCAGCACGGCCCUUACGUCCGGGGCGACACACGUGUUACAAUGGCCGAUACAGAGGGCAGCUACCUGGUGACAGGAUGCGAAUCUUCAAAGUCGGUCUCAGUUCGGAUCGAAGUCUGCAACUCGACUUCGUGAAGCUGGAUUCGCUAGUAAUCGCGCAUCAGCCAUGGCGCGGUGAAUACGUUCCCGGGCCUUGUACACACCGCCCGU
rnacentral:rRNA from 1 species